rnacentral:rRNA from 1 species
AUUGAACGCUGGCGGCAUGCCUUACACAUGCAAGUCGAACGGUAACGGGCCUUCGGGUGCCGACGAGUGGCGAACGGGUGAGUAAUGCAUCGGAACGUACCUUUCAGUGGGGGAUAACGUAGCGAAAGUUACGCUAAUACCGCAUAUUCUGUGAGCAGGAAAGCAGGGGAUCGCAAGACCUUGCGCUGAUUGAGCGGCCGAUGUCAGAUUAGCUAGUUGGUGAGGUAAAGGCUCACCAAGGCGACGAUCUGUAGCGGGUCUGAGAGGAUGAUCCGCCACACUGGAACUGAGACACGGUCCAGACUCCUACGGGAGGCAGCAGUGGGGAAUUUUGGACAAUGGGCGCAAGCCUGAUCCAGCCAUGCCGCGUGCAGGAUGAAGGCCUGGUUGUAACUGUCUUUGUACGGUAACGAACGGACGACGCUCUAAUAACUAGUUGUCUAAUAGUACGGUACCGUAAGGAACUAAAGACACCGGCCGUAACUACCGUA